UACGAAGGGGGCUAGCGUUGCUCGGAAUUACUGGGCGUAAAGGGCGCGUAGGCGGACAGUUUAGUCAGAGGUGAAAGCCCAGGGCUCAACCUUGGAAUUGCCUUUGAUACUGGCUGUCUUGAGUACGGGAGAGGUGAGUGGAACUCCGAGUGUAGAGGUGAAAUUCGUAGAUAUUCGCAAGAACACCAGUGGCGAAGGCGGCUCACUGGCCCGGUACUGACGCUGAGGUGCGAAAGCGUGGGGAGCAAACAGG
rnacentral:rRNA from 1 species